rnacentral:rRNA from 1 species
UUGGAGGGCAAGUCUGGUGCCAGCAGCCGCGGUAAUUCCAGCUCCAAUAGCGUAUAUUAGAGUUGUUGCAGUUAAAAAGCUCGUAGUUGAAUUUCGGGGUUAGUAGGUUGGUCAUGCCUCUGGUAUGUACUGGUCUCACUGAUUCCUCCUUCCUGAUGAGCCGUAAUGCCAUUAAUUUGGUGUUGUGGGGAAUCAGGACUGUUACUUUGAAAAAAUUAGAGUGUUUAAAGCAGGCUCACGCUUGAAUACAUUAGCAUGGAAUAAUGAAAUAGGACGUUUGAUUCUAUUUUGUUGGUUUCUAGGAUCGACGUAAUGAUUAAUAGGGAUAGUUGGGGGCAUUAGUAUUCAAUUGUCAGAGGUGAAAUUCUUGGAUUUAUUGAAGACUAACUACUGCGAAAGCAUUUGCCAAGGAUGUUUUCAUUAAUCAAGAACGAAAGUUAGGGGAUCGAAGACGAUCAGAUACCGUCGUAGUCUUAACCAUAAACUAUGCCGACCAGGGAUCGGAUGAUGUUAAUUCUUUAAUGACUCAUUCGGCGCCUUACGGGAAACCAAAGUGUUUGGGUUC